ACUUCCAUAACGUUACCCGCCAACGAGUUUAUACGCUCGGAAUUGCCCGGGACAUACGUGCAACAUUCUGAUCCGACGUUAACGUUUAUUCAUUUAGCACACGCUAUUUCUCCAAAGCGACUUCCAAGGAACUCUAUGUAGUGUCAUCAGCCCACACACCUUAUUCACCAAGGUGACUCGCACCGCUAGAUACACUACUUACAAUGGGUCACUCAUCCAUACAUCAGUGGAAUACACUCACACACUAUGGGUGAACCACACUACACGCUACAACAGCACAUGUUGCUCCUUCUGCGGCCAGAGGAUAAUCUACUGCCAUUCGCCUUUGCAUAGCAACAGCAUUAAUGUCCUUAAGGCUCUCAGUCGUACCGUUGGCUAUUUCUUCUGAUGCUUGUGCUGAAUAGAGCGUCUGCCGAGCAGCUUUACCGAUACCACGCGUUGGGAACAAUACCAGAAAAUAUCUCUCCCGUUUCAGAAAGUCCAGUUUUCACCAAGGGGGGACUAUUUCUCCGAUAGCGGAGGAGACGAGAAUCUGGACGCCACGGAGGUUGGGACAACUUUCGAACGUGGGGCACUACAUAGGACAAAUAACAGGAAUUCGGCGUGGAAAAGUCGCGAUAGUAUCCCAAGGAGACAGGAUUACCCGGUUGGCUCACACUAAAUAUUUUACUGUUAGAGGCCUCACGCGGAGUGGCUAUGAGUGUACGAAUUCCUCAUACACUUUUCCAGAAGUCACCGGUGCCGUGUAACAGGACACCGCGAUGCAAAGCUGCUGUGGGGUAAAGGUUCGGGAAACGGCUCCAUCCACAAAACCCUAGGGGUAAAGGCAUGAGUGGUAGUCCAGAUGACACUGAUUUUGGCACAUGAGUACAGGCCCAGCAACUGGUGCUAUUGUCAGCAGCUGCAUAACCCUUGCUCAGAGCCAGGAAAGCGCUGACGCCAUGCGAGCCUUCCUCAUGUAGAUGGGGACAGUUUGCGUCCCCCGUGGAUUUCGUCGGCUUGCGAAGGAACCCUGCAAAUUUCACGAGGCGUUUGUUGUCGAAGAGGGAAAGCCGCAUUUCUUCCCACGCCAGGUUGCAGGGCUCACACUGCAAAAGAGAACCUCCCCCAGGCACCUUUAAUGAAAUACAGUUUCCCAGACCGUGGCUUGAGCCCAUGACCCUCAGCUUAAGACUCUUGCACACUACUGACUGAGCUAGGCAGGAACAUCACUGCUACCAGCACUCCUGUGGAAGUGCAAGCAAGCUGAAGUGUGCAAAUUCAGGAGGAGCACAAGCAAAAUGCAGCUCCAGAAUCCAUCUUGCUACCUUCUGACUUGCUGGAAAGCAGCAUCAGAGCAAGCCUUAAAGCUUCCUCCUGCAUGGAGGGAACAGCUGGUUGACUCCUGAGGUGCCAGGAAGAAGGCACUGCUUCCACACACAUACAGGAGGACCAGCCUGGCCUGCUCUACCAGGGAUCUUUCCCCUCCUCAGCAGGAGCCUUCCCGCAAGCCCCUUGGCCCAUGCUGAACCUUCCCGCAACACUCCUGCUGCCAGUACACUUUCAAGAGCUCAACUGACACAGCCAAGCAGGGAGCUGGGCGGGCUCGUCCGGGAUUUGAACCCGGGACCUCUCACACCCGAAGCGAGAAUCAUACCCCUAGACCAACG
ensembl:lncRNA